UACCAGCUCUCCGAGUGGUAGGGAUGUUUAUUGGGCUUAAAGCGUCCGUAGCCGGCUUAGCAAGUCUCCUGUUAAAUUCAGCGACCUAAUCGUUGAGCCGCGGGAGAUACUACUAGGCUAGGAGGCGGGAGAGGUCAACGGUACUUCCGGGGUAGGGGUGAAAUCCUAUAAUCCCGGGAGGACCACCAGUGGCGAAGGCUGUUGACUAGAACGCGCUCGACGGUGAGGGACGAAAGCUGGGGGAGCGAACCGGAUUAGAUACCCGGGUAGUCCCAGCUGUAAACGAUGCGAGCUAGGUGUUGGGGUGGCUACGUGCCACUUCAGUGCCGCAGGGAAGCCAGUAAGCUCGCCGCCUGGGGAGUACGGCCGCAAGGCUGAAACUUAAAGGAAUUGGCGGGGGAGCACCACAAGGCGUGAAGCUUGCGGUUC
rnacentral:rRNA from 1 species